rnacentral:rRNA from 1 species
GACGAACGCUGGCGGCGUGCUUAACACAUGCAAGUCGAACGGUAAGGCCCUUCGGGGUACACGAGUGGCGAACGGGUGAGUAACACGUGGGUGAUCUGCCCUGCACUUCGGGAUAAGCCUGGGAAACUGGGUCUAAUACCGGAUAGGACCACUGCCUGCAUGGGUGGUGGUGGAAAGCUUUUGCGGUGUGGGAUGGGCCCGCGGCCUAUCAGCUUGUUGGUGGGGUGAUGGCCUACCAAGGCGGCGACGGGUAGCCGGCCUGAGAGGGUGACCGGCCACACUGGGACCGGGAUACGGCCCAGACUCCUACGGGAGGCAGCAGUGGGGAAUAUUGCACAAUGGGCGCAAGCCUGAUGCAGCGACGCCGCGUGAGGGAUGACGGCCUUCGGGUUGUAAACCUCUUUCAGCACCGACGAAGCGCAAGUGACGGUAGGUGCAGAAGAAGGACCGGCCAACUACGUGCCAGCCGCCGCGGUAAGAC